rnacentral:piRNA from 1 species
ACGAGGGCCAGGCCUGUGUGUUGAAUGCUGU